CAAAAUGGUGGCCGAGGGGCCGGGGUAAGAUAGGGGUCCCAUGUGUUGGUCGGAGUAAGUGGGUGUAAAGGUGGGGUAGGGGGUUGGGUAAGGCGGAUGUGAAAUCUCCGAGCUCAACUCGGAAAUGGCAUUGGGAACUACCCUGCUGGAGGGGCGGAGGGGGGACUGGAAUGCUCGGUGUAGCAGUGAAAUGCGUAGAUAUCGAGAGGAACACCAGUGGCGAAGGCGAGUCCCUGGACGACUCCUGACACUGAGGCACGAAAGCUAGGGGAGCAAACAGGAUUAGAUACCCUGGUAGUC
rnacentral:rRNA from 1 species